rnacentral:lncRNA from 1 species
UUUAAUAAGCCAUGAAGCUAAUUUUUUUAUAGGGAGGUUUAAUGAUCUUGGUAAAAGUAAGUUUUGUUGUGGUAAUUUUUUUUUUUUAUUAUUCGGAUAUUGUAAUUAUCCACCUUAAUUAUUAGUGUGAUUAUAAUGACUAAGUUAAUUUUAAUUAUUAUAAAUUAAAUUAUAAUAAAUGUUAAAUUUUAAUUAUUAAUUUAA